UGCAUCUUUAUCCAUGCGCGAGUUGUGCGUCGGCGGAGCUAUGAAUGGGCAGAGAGGGGUGUUCUCUUGCAGGCACCAUCACAGCAGUGAGAUGAGGAGUGCCAUUUACUCCACUGCACGUCUGCUGUACUGAGAGCAGAAAAGAGAAGGAAGAGGAAAGAAAAGAAGGACAAGGUGAUCCAUCCUGAAGCAAACAACAGCUCUGAAUUUCUCCUGAUAGAACUCGUCCAGUCAGCCAUGGAGCAGAAGACAAAUGAGUGUCCCACUGCCACCUCCCCUCAGAAGCACAUGAAGAACAGAUCCAAAUCCACGGAGGAGAUGCAGCAGUCCAAAAAGGCUUUUUCCUCACAAAAAUCCCUGCCAGGCAGGCCAGAGUUGGACAAAGUGAAGGAGAGUCCUGAUGGCUCUGACACGCCUUCGUCCUCCUCUGAAGAACUCAAGUGAUAAAUAAAACCAACAAAUCUACAUUAUCUUCAUUCAUUUAAAAAUGCAUAAAAUGUACAUACACCCACAGUAAAACAUGCACAAUAUUGAAUAUAAUAGAAAACUAUAUAAUAAAACAUGCAAGCCGGGAAUUUAUGAGGUGAAGUGAACAAAAUGACCAAACUGGCACAAUCCCAUGUAAACACCAGGAUUCCUGUGAUGAAGCUGUGUCAUUGUGUUGUUAGUGUCAUGUAUGUGCCAUCGGAAUAUGUUGUAAUAAUAAAGUGAUGUGGCUGAGUAA